UACGAAGGGGGCUAGCGUUGCUCGGAAUCACUGGGCGUAAAGGGCGCGUAGGCGGGAUGGCAAGUCAGUCGUGAAAUCUCUCGGCUCAACCGAGAAACGUCGGCUGAUACUGCCAUUCUUGAGGGAUGCAGAGGAGACUGGAAUUCCCGGUGUAGCGGUGAAAUGUGUAGAGAUGUGGAGGAACACCGGUGGCGAAGGCGGCAUCCUGGACCGGUAUUGACGCUGAGGCGCGAAAGCCAGGGGAGCAAACGGG
rnacentral:rRNA from 1 species